UACGAAGGGGGCUAGCGUUGCUCGGAAUUACUGGGCAUAAAGGGCGCGUAGGCGGCUUGGUCAGUCAGGCGUGAAAUUCCUGGGCUUAACCUGGGGACUGCGCUUGAUACGGCCAGGCUUGAGGAUGGAAGAGGGUCGCGGAAUUCCCAGUGUAGAGGUGAAAUUCGUAGAUAUUGGGAAGAACACCGGUGGCGAAGGCGGCGACCUGGUCCAUUACUGACGCUGAGGCGCGACAGCGUGGGGAGCAAACAGG
rnacentral:rRNA from 1 species